GUGAUUCAUGAAGGAGUGAGUUUGGAGAGGAAAGAAGGAGAAUAAACGAAGGUUUAUAUGAAGCUCAGGCCUGAACUCGCGCUGCGAGAGAG